rnacentral:rRNA from 1 species
AGUCACGCUGUAAACGAUGUCGAUUUGGAGGUUGUUCCCUUGAGGAGUGGCUUCCGGAGCUAACGCGUUAAAUCGACCGCCUGGGGAGUACGGCCGCAAGGUUAAAACUCAAAUGAAUUGACGGGGGCCCGCACAGCGGUGGAGCAUGUGGUUUAAUUCGAUGCAACGCGAAGAACCUUACCUACUCUUGACAUCCAGAGAAUUUAGCAGAGAUGCUUUAGUGCCUUCGGGAACUCUGAGACAGGUGCUGCAUGGCUGUCGUCAGCUCGUGUUGUGAAAUGUUGGGUUAAGUCCCGCAACGAGCGCAACCCUUAUCCUUUGUUGCCAGCACGUUAUGGUGGGAACUCAAAGGAGACUGCCGGUGAUAAACCGGAGGAAGGUGGGGAUGACGUCAAGUCAUCAUGGCCCUUACGAGUAGGGCUACACACGUGCUACAAUGGCGUAUACAAAGAGAAGCGACCUCGCGAGAGCAAGCGGAACUCAUAAAGUACGUCGUAGUCCGGAUUGGAGUCUGCAACUCGACUCCAUGAAGUCGGAAUCGCUAGUAAUCGUAGAUCAGAAUGCUACGGUGAAUACGUUCCCGGGCCUUGUACACACCGCCCGUCACACCAUGGGAGUGGGUUGCAAAAGAAGUAGGUAGCUUAACCUUCGGGAGGGCGCUUACCACUUUGUGAUUCAUGACUGGGGUGAAGUCGUAACAAGGUAACCA